AUCUCUUUGCCUAUUGGCUUAGAUCAAGUGUAGUAUCUGUUCUUUUCAGUGUAACAACUGAAAUGUCCUCAUAGAGGAUAUUACUGUUACAGACUCAGUUUUUGGCCAGCCUUUAUAACUAAAAAACUAACGUUUCCGGGUAUUUGCAGGACUUCCUUGCCUUUUUAUUAAGGCUGAGGUUGUCUAGGAGUGUCGUU
rnacentral:snRNA from 1 species